UUUUACUUCUGUUGUUUGGAGUGUCAGCAGCCCUGACACUUGCAGGAGGAAGCUCUUGGCUCACGGAAGUUGAAUCCCGUCUGGGGAAUGACUGUAGCUUAGCGUAUUUCAGUUAUUGCCAUUUUGGGUUUCAUAUUAUCUGACCUCACAGAAUUGCACCAAACCUGUCCUACCCCUGAGGCUUCUCCACGAUUUUUCUCCAGUCAACCCUGCAGUGAGUUUUGUUAGCAGGAUGCCUGACGUUUCCAUGCCGACAAGUCCUGUUUUCCAAACUGGCUGUUCUCAGGCUGGCAAGAGUGACCUGAUUUCACUCCAGAAACAUUUUAAACUUCCUGAAAGAUUACAUGGCUGUGAGCACUCCCACAGAUCCUCUGCAGCGUUCUUUGUUAAGGUCAAGGUUCAUGCUUUCUUUACAAAUGUGAUGAUUUUUCUGUAAUUCUCUGUCUGAGAGGUGGUGUCCAUCUGAAGCUAUUCUGAAGCUGCCAAUGCUUGUUUUCUGACUGUCCCUCCUUUCUAAGGCUUUGAUUUCCAGAUACUCUGUCGGUGAUUCUGGCUUCCAGAACUCCUACCUGUUCUAGAGGGGCCUGUAAUCUGUGAACAGCCUUGGGAAUGCGUCCCACGGCGUUUGACACUCAAGACUAAAAAUAGCAAGAUGAAGCCUGAAGUAUUCUCCAAGGAAAUGGAAUUGAAUCAUGUAACGGGAUUAUUCUUGGUUAUCUUGCUGAUAGCCGCGUGACCAGACGUCUACAAAUGCUGGAUGGUAAGAAUAAAAUUGCCUUUUAAGUGGGAAGAAUGGAACUUCUCUCCACUUCCAACAUAAAUUAAAGCUAAGGGUCUCGCUCUGGUUCCCAGGCUGCAGUGCAGUGUGCCAUAAUCACGGCUCAUUAUAGCCUUAACCUCCCUGGCUCAAGCGAUCCUCCCACUUCAGCCUACUGAGGACCUGGGACUACAGGUGCAUGCCAUCACACCUAAUUUUUUGUUUUUAUUUCUGUAGAGAUGGCGUUUCGCUAUGUUGCCCAGGCUGGUCUUGAACUCCUGGGCCUUGGCCUCCCAAAGUGCUGGGAUUACGGGCAUGAGUGACUGUACCUAUCCUUAAGUGAGAUUUUAAAUGAUUAUCACUUGUAACCUGUUCUUUCCAAAAUACAGACUUGCCCUCAACAAGAACACGUUUCUGGCUGACUCUGUGAGAAACAGUCUCGUCUGGAGAGUCUCUUUGCUAAGUUUCAGGUCUGUGGGGAGCCAGGAAGGACUUGAUGGUGACAAAGGCACCAGGCCACAUGCCAGGACCUCCCACAAGGAGGCGGCUUUGGUUAGCCUGUUCUGCUCCAGGCCAGCAGUGUGGGCAGUGGGUCAGGAUCCCCAGCGUAUGCUGGAUGAGCUGGACGAGGUUUAGGUCCAUGAAUGAGCCUUCCCGGGGGUCUCACGCUUGCCUCACAGGGUGGGCAGUAGCCAACAGGAAGUUGACAACCCCUGAACAUCUCUCUGCGACAAAAUGGGCCCAAAAAAGAGAAUCUUCAAGACAAUGUGUGACACCUUCAGGCUGACUUAGCUCAUGUAUCAGAAAGGAGAGGAAAUUUGAAAGGAAAGUUUGAAAAGGCGUUUUCCUGGUGCUGUGGAAGUACCAGCAUGUCACUGAGUAACAGUGAGUGUUUUAAUACUGCCGUUUUCAAAUGACUCUCCUAAGCGUAUAACUUUGGAAUUACAUUAUUAACAUCACUUUCUGUCUCUUUUACAUUUAGGUCCUCUUUUACUGUCUCCCAGCAGGGUGAAAACAAGGUUAGACCAUUCUCUAUAAGCCAGCAAAGCAGAGAGGGCGACAGAAUGAUUCAGCUUAAGAAUCACUGAAGCAUUGGAAAGUUUUCCUAUGUUUCAAUUAAAAUCUUCUCAGAGAACUAUGGGUUCUUUUAAAAAUACGUUUCUGAUCAUUGUCUUAAAAUAUCUAGAUUAUUGCAAUUUCUUGUAAUUUAGGAGGCCUCAUGUUAGUUACUUUGGUCUUUCACUUGCAAAGCUGUACCAUCUGACAUUUUGGUACAGUUGUCCAUUUUGUGGGUCAAGGUUAGUCUCGAAUUUAGAAGAUAAGAAGAAUACUUACGGUUCCCCCCCACCUUGAAUAUUUUCAUGAGUAAACACAGGACGCUGUGGCUGAAAUGAAAUGAUUUUCAAUGUAAUCAAUGUUUAAACUGUUACUAAUUAAAAGAUAAUUUGGAUAAUGGCAUGGUACUUUUCUUGACAUUUAAUAUUUCCUGUUGUAAAAAACCAAGAGGAAGAAAAAAAAAAACACAAAGGGUUUCUGCAGGACUAAUAAUUAAAAUAUUUAAAGGGAGCUUUAAAUUAAAGCAAAAUAACCAAGGUCAAAUGUUAUGAACAUGUCUACAAUCUCAUCUGCUCAAGCUUUAAGGAAAAGUCAGGGUUUAGUCCCACUGAUUUUUCAAAGGCCAGGAAUAGGGCAAGAACAUAGACAGCAAACCACUAGAAUAGGAAGUAUAGACACCUUCAUACAACCGUAGUCUCCAGCGUUUUCUCAAACAAGCAGAAAAUAAACCACAUUUAGGUUAACAGCAGAGUAUCCACAUUCAUUCUUUCAACCUUUCCUUCACAGACGACAUUCUCACACACAGUACACAGGAAAUGUCAGUAAGCAGACAUCCCAUGCGACACUGGAAUGAACAUUCUCUGUUUUCAGUGUGAAGAAAACACAUGCAUUUUUAAAAAGAGAAAACAGAACUUUGGAAUGCAACGAACAAUAUCCAGGUAACACGUAACAUUUUACCUUCGAAGAGAAAUACUGGUAGAAAUUUCCAGUGCACUGAACUCUCAAAAGAGUUUCUUUUCUUUUUAAACUAAGCAUCAAGACCAGUAUCUGUAAUAGAUACUUAUAAUAUUGGAAAUGACAAGCCUUAGCAUCCCAUAUACCCACAUUAAUAUUUGAACGAAUGAAAGUUAACACGUUUGUUGAAUAUAUAAACUCUAAUUUAGAUUGACCACCUCAACUUUACCUUUUAGGGGAGAAAUGCAUACAAAUCAUUCAUAACACACUUUAAAAGCAUUUGCUUCUAAAUGAUAGCUACAGGGUAAAAUCAGAAUUUGCAUGGCAAUUAUAUAAGUGAUGUUCGAUGACUACUGAUUAGCUGUGAGAUCCAUGUCCUUAGACAUGGAUUUCCAUAGUUAUGAGCGGAUUCCUGAUAGGCUGGAAAUCUCUUCCUGCAAAUGCCCCACUGGUCCAGGCUUGGAUGGAUAACUCUGAGGCUGCUUUUGGUCUAUGAGUCUGUGAUUUAGCCCUUCCUAAAUUCUUUAUCCAUUCCCUUUCAAUCCUACCUGUCUGUCUAGCAUAAGGCUCAGUACUUACAGUACUAAAACUGUAAGCUUUGGCUCUGCUAACUGGAAACCUUCGUUAACAGUAUUCUUAGAAACUUCACUCAACAGUCUGUGGAUAGAAUAUUUAAAACCAGACUGAGUAAGAAUGACCGGACACAAGUAUGACUUAAGAGUGUGAAAUAGUUUACUACUGUACAUCAAUAGAAGUCUACUAAAACUGUCUUUAUUAAAAUUAGAAGAUAUUCAUAUUUUAAGAAAAACGAUGACUAGAUAAUCUUCCAGCCAUCUUAAAGGUGAUUUAAUUCAAGAUAUUAUUAAAUCAAUUGAAAUAUCUAAGCUGGUAAUUUAAGUCAUUGAUAAGCCUAUAUCAUAUUACCUAUUUCAAGUUCUCUUCCAAUCCAACAGAACUUUAUAUAUGUAUAGAACUGUUACGCAGAAGUGAGAUUUGUAGACAUCAACUGCCAUUAACACUAUUUUGUAAUCAUUUUCCAGUGUUUUUCCCCCUUAGUCUUUCUCAUUUUAAAUGCCUGCAGAAUAAUGUUCUCCCACGCGUGUCCACGUAUCAUAGUUUUCUUUGUUUUGAAGUUGGAAUUGGUCUAGUCUUUUUUCCCACUAUCAUAAAUAGCAAUGCUAUACACAUUGUUUAUGCAAAGAGCUAUUUUCUUCUUUUGAAGUACUCUUUAGAAUAUAUUCUCAGGAGUAAAAUUUCUGGCCUAAGAAUAUGCAUUAAAGCCACAUGAUUUUGCAAAUGUACAUGUGAGUCACAGAAAAAUACUGUAUUCAAAAGCAACCUGAAAAGGUCUGAUAUGCCACACUUCAUAUCAUACCCCGAGAUAGCGAGUACUUUCCCAAAACAACGGCAGCACCAUUCGCAGUGCAUAAUAGUUAUAAAUAAGAAAGUAUUGGCCGGGCGGGGUGGCUCACGCCUGUAAUCCCAGCACUUUGGGAGGCCGAGGCGGGUGGAUCAUGAAGUCAAGAGAUCGAGACCAUCCUGGUCAACAUGGUGAAACCCCGUCUCUACUAAAAAUACAAAAAAUUAGCUGGGCGUGGUGGCGCGUGCCUGUAAUCCCAGCUACUCAGGAGGCUGAGGCAGGAGAAUUGCCUGAACCCAGGAGGCGGAGGUUGCGGUGAGCCGAGAUUGCGCCAUUGCACCCCAGCCUGGGUAACAAGAGCAAAACUCCGUCUUAAAAAAAAAAAAGUAUUAUUUCUUCUUCAGAUAAAAUGUUGCGUAAAAUAUAUUUCAUUAUGCUCUAAAAUUGGUGUCCCUGUUUUCACACAUUUAAACCAUUUUAAUAUUUUAAAAUUGAGUCAGAGUUUCAACUUGUACAUCACAGCAUCUGAUGCUUGGUAUAACUGGUGAUUUCAUUUCACUGCUCUUGUUAAAAUGUGAAUACCACUUUAAAAAUCAAGUUGUUCAUGA